AGUCUUAUAUUCAAGUAUGAUUUUAAAUUGCAAAUUUAAAGGUAAAGUUAAUUUUAAGGCUU
rnacentral:tRNA from 1 species